CCAGCAGCAGCAGCAGACGGCUGCCCUGGUGCGGCAGCUCCAGAAGCAGCUUUCUAGUAAUCAGCCACAGCAAGGAGUGACUCCGUAUGGGCAUCCUUCACACUUCUGAAUCUAGAAGAGGAAAAGACAUGAAGUUUGAUGUCUGCACUGAAAAAUAGAAAAUUGAAUUUAAUUUCAUUCGCCAUCCUUAGACAUGCCCCUUUGUGCUUUCAUUUCUUUGACAUUUUACUAUAUUUUAUGCUACAUUUCACACAAAGGUGUUUAAACAAAAAGCGAAGGAGAAGUUGUAGUUUGAUUUUGUCUCGUUCCACUUUAAAGUAGGUUUAAAAAUGUGGAUCAUGCAGGCCUACUCCAGGAAGAGUGUGGUAGCGGACCUUUUGAAACUGGUGCUUUUUUUGAAUCUCAUAUUUACAGGAAGAAUGAAUUAUGGUGGAUUUAAGAUGUUUAUGUAUUUAAUAAUAGUGAAUUUUUGUUUUGUUUUUUCCCUGUGCUGGACCAAACUACUGAUUUGAAAAGUGUGUGAGAUCUUGACGGGAAAGACCCGUUUAUAUUGCAUUCACCUGCAGUGGUGAAAUGGACAUUUAUUUGCAUCACUCUAGUUUGAAAUGUUUGUAAUUUCAUAAGCACUUUAUGAAGUUUGUUCUUAUUUAUGUAGAACUUUGCUUUGCUUUUGUUGUGGUCAAAAGAUGCUGAAACAGAUUGUUGCUUAGUACUUAAAAUUCUUAAACCAAGAACUUAAUUAAACCAAGGCUUCUGUGAGAGCCACACUAGGAUGUGUGGAAGCCUCUUAGAAGUAGCUGUACUUGAAUUUGAGGGUACAAAUGUAAAUUCUAAAGGCCUGAGAGAACCACAGUGGAAUCAUUUCAAGUAUUUAUUGUCUGUUUUGGUAAAAAUGACUCUGUCCCAUUUUGGUUCUCCUGAACUUUAUGUCACCUUGAAGAAAAAAAAAAAUUUGCAACUGGCCUGAGAUUCCACAGUGCUCAGACUUGACAUGGUUUCCAGAGAAUCUGGACCCAAAGUCCAGAAGGCUCUGGUUUUCAUAAAAGGUGUAUUUGCUGUUUAUUUUGUAUGGUAAGUAUUUGCUAUUUUGAAUUUAAUUAUUAAUGUUGGUGUUAGUCUUGGUCAUGUAUUGCAUACACUGUAUUUAUAAAUUGGUGCAAAAAGCACAAGUAAAUUAUACAUCAAAUUUAUUAUAAAGAAAUAGUAACUAUUUUAACUUUGUUCAAGUAUGUGGUAAUUUGCUCCUAUUAGAGUAAAAAAAAUACAGUAAAUUAUUAUCAGUUUGUGUAACUUAAGAGUAUUCCAUAUAAUAUUUUUUUAGAUAUAGAUGCAUAAAAUUUUGAAUGUGAAAAUUGCAGGGCAUUUUAAAACAUAUGUGGGGAUAUUUUCCCAUGUUCUGUGUUAAUUCAUUUUCGUUUGCCAUAUGAUUUUACAUGUAAUGUAGUCAAGCAUACUGUGAAUAGAUUUGUUUAUAAUGAACAAACCAUGUAGAACUACUUUUUUAUUAAAUGUAGCUAGUACGACUUUAGUAGACAAUUUCUUUUGGAAAUCAUUAUAUAAAUAAUUUGUAUCUUCCUAGGUGAAUUACUCAUUGCAAAGUUUGACUCAUGCAAAUGACCUCAAUACAUGUCAGCUUACUUUGCUGUGGCAACAUCCAUGUGAACUGCUUUGUACACUGUGAAAAUAUUUCCCUCCAGCCUGCUCAUUUUGUGUUUACUCUGGGCUGGAAAAGACUUUGCCAAAACAUUAAAGACCAUUCUUUUCACUAAA